rnacentral:rRNA from 1 species
AACUAACGCUGGCGGCGUGCCUAACACAUGCAAGUCGUACGAGAAAGCCGGCUUCGGCUGGUGAGUAAAGUGGCGCACGGGUGAGUAACGCGUGGAUAAUCUGCCCUUAAGUGUGGAAUAACGUACCGAAAGGUGCGCUAAUACCGCAUAAUGCCUGGCAACACAAGUUGUCCGGCCAAAGAAGGCCUCUGUUUACAAGCUUUCGCUUCAGGAUGAGUCCGCGUACCAUUAGCUAGUUGGCGGGGUAAAGGCCCACCAAGGCGACGAUCAGUAGCCGGCCUGAGAGGGUGACCGGCCACACUGGAACUGAGACACGGUCCAGACUCCUACGGGAGGCAGCAGUGGGGAAUAUUGCACAAUGGGGGAAACCCUGAUGCAGCGACGCCGCGUGAGUGAAGAAGGUCUUCGGAUCGUAAAACUCUGUCCUUGGUGACGAAGGAAGUGACGGUAACCAAGGAGGAAGCCCCGGCUAACUACGUG